AUACAGAGGGUGCAAGCGUUAUUCGGAAUUACUGGGCGUAAAGCGCGCGUAGGCGGAUGAUUAAGUCAGUUGUGAAAGCCCUGGGCUCAACCUAGGAACUGCAUCUGAUACUGGUCAUCUAGAGUUUAAGAGAGGGAAGUGGAAUUCCAGGUGUAGCAGUGAAAUGCGUAGAUAUCUGGAGGAACAUCAGUGGCGAAGGCGACUUCCUGGCUUAGAACUGACGCUUAGGUGCGAAAGCGUGGGUAGCGAACGGGAUUAGAAACCCUAGUAGUCC
rnacentral:rRNA from 1 species